rnacentral:rRNA from 1 species
UACGUAGGGUGCAAGCGUGUCCGGAAUUAUUGGGCGUAAAGAGCUCGUAGGUGGCCUGUCGCGUCGGCUGUGAAAACUCGGGGCUCAACUCCGAGCUUGCAGUCGAUACGGGCAGGCUAGAGUUCGGCAGGGGAGACUGGAAUUCCUGGUGUAGCGGUGAAAUGCGCAGAUAUCAGGAGGAACACCGGUGGCGAAGGCGGGUCUCUGGGCCGAUACUGACACUGAGGAGCGAAAGCGUGGGGAGCGAACAGGA